CGCAUAAAUCAAUCUCUUUUUUUUUAUACAUCUAUACUUAGCAAAUAAUAGCAUACUGGUAUUUAAGAGCUCAUUACUACAUAUCUGUUAGGAGUAUAUAGUAGCUCAACUUAUUAAGAAGCGAAUGAAUGCUUGUACCCUAGACUUAUUUUUGUUACAUCGAUUUAAGCAUCUCUGAUUUCUCAAUUAAUUAAUUACAUAUAUAGAGGAUACUUAAUCUCUUAUCAUCUUAUAUUAAUAAAUAUGUACUU
rnacentral:lncRNA from 1 species